rnacentral:rRNA from 1 species
UUGACCUCGGAUCCAGUAGGAAUACCCCCCUAAA